GAUGGAUCGCGUCAAGAACCUCAACAAGCGGAUGGACAUGGAGGACUCGCCCGCUAAGCGUUCGCUGCUGCUGAGCGACCCUCUGCGGCUGAACCAGCCUGGCUCGCCUCGUCAGCGGCUGCCAGGCCUCUGGGGCGUGCACGGUCAGGUCAGGUCGUUGUUCGACAAGCCUAUGACCUUCCCACGCGGCUCGCUGUUCGACCAGCCGCCAUUCGCCAGGCACUCGUCCUUCGGCUCCCAGCCGGCGGCGGAGAGCUCGGACAGCGGCAGCCAACACGAGGACGACGCGCCCGCCGCCGCCACCACCAAAACCAAACCAUGGUCAAGAAGACGUCCACACCGAAAACACGCGUGGCCUCCGUGACAUUCAAGAUAGUGCCGAAGGGCGAUCAGUAGGCUGAUAUAGCCGGCCGAGUACUUCUGGCGGCCAACGUUUGACAAUCAGUUCUGACCGCGGCCCGUCCUCUGGCCAGAGACAAAUACCACCCACCGCACCCCGGGCGAACAUGAUUCGACGUCCGCUGCCAAGAGGCUGGGCUCGUCGCCCUGUCCCCGCUUCGCAGCGGCCUGCUGCGAUGAGGCUGGUCCGAAGGUCGGCUUCCCCUGCACGGGUCGUAUCAUCGAAGCGGGUCGGAGGGUCGGCU